GUUUAUUAUAAAUGAACUUCCUUUACAACCAUUGUAAUAUUAUUUGCUUUACAUUCGUAGUUUAAUGCCAAUCACUCUAUUCAAAUCAAAAUUGUGUUAAUAUAUGAUUUGCGUCUACUAUUAAAUGGAUCUAUUGUCUGUUCCUUUGACAGUUCCAAUCGUAAUAUAUUGAUGUAAGUUGUGAAUUACACAUUAUUCUACAGGCAGUUCUUAAAUUCAUAUUUGCUAUCCUUAGAAUGCUUAUCCUUAGAAUGUUUAUCCAAAAUUGAGGAAACGUCAUUUUCAAAUAAAUUACAAGAUCAUAUUUAGAUUUCUUUUCGUUCUUGGGAUAAAGGAUAUUAGCUUUGAUAAGUUCCCUUGGGCAGGGAAGUAUUGCAAACUUUAUUGGAAAAGAAUGCAAUUUAAAGACAAACACAAAUACAAAUAACGUUACAAACAAAGAAGAAUUAAGAUGGAUAAGGUGCCUUACAUGCACCUUUUCAAUAUAGUACGUACAAACAUAGAAAUAAGAUCUACAACAGUG